rnacentral:rRNA from 1 species
UACGUAGGGUGCGAGCGUUGUCCGGAAUUAUUGGGCGUAAAGGGCUCGUAGGCGGCCAGUUGCGUCUGCUGUGAAAUCCCGGGGCUCAACCCCGGGCGUGCAGUGGAUACGGGCUGGCUAGAGGCAGGCAGGGGAGAACGGAAUUCCCGGUGUAGCGGUGAAAUGCGUAGAGACCCGGAGGAACACCAGUGGCGAAGGCGGCUUCCUGGUCUGCGACUGACGCUGUGGCGCGAAAGCUAGGGGAGCAAACGGG